UAAACUCUGUCUCAAAAUAAAAAAUAAAAUACAAAACAACUUGUCUGAUGCCCCCCUGCCACCACAUUUCAAGUGAAGUGCAGGGAAAUGUCCCUUCCCUGCAUGCCUGCUCUUCAUUCUUCAGUCCACAAGCCUCGUGUUUGUGCAGCUCCUGGCCUGUCACCCAGCCCGAGUUAUCGGUGACGAUAACAUCUAGAGAGACUGGCUUCCUCUAGUCAUGAAGUGUCAGGCGCUGCUCCCUCCUCCCCAAACUCCAGACUUGGCUGAGGGACUCUCUGUCCCAUCUUCUCACCUCUCCUGCACCAAAGGGUUCUUGGUUUACCUGG
rnacentral:lncRNA from 1 species